AGUGUAGACCCAUUCCCAGCAACGACAAUCUGCAGAAGGAAAGGUACGUAAAACUUGUCAUGCAGAGACCCAUCCCCAGCAACGACAACCUGCAAAAGGAAAGGACAGUCACACUCGAAGGCCACGGAGAAAAACGUGUCAUACAGCGGUGUAGAGGUUGGGUGAGGACGGACGUUUUGCAUCAUGCACCAUGCACCUGCACCAUGCAUCCUGCACCAUGCAGGUACAACACCCGCAAGGCUUUAGAGGUGAGGAUGAGAAAAAAAAAAUCGUAUAAAAGGAGAGAGAAAAGGCGAAGGAAAAUCAGUCGAGUGAUCUCCGACACGGCAACAACUGCAGCGCACUAUCUGUCACCAUCUGCCUUCUUCCAGUUCGCAACCAUGGUCAACUAUGGUGUCGUGCUCCUGUUGGGUAUUGUAUCGCUGAUGGCUGGGUCGACCACUGGUGUACCGAUGUCUACUUGGUAUGGCGCAAACCAAACCGCAACGCCGCCGCCUUCCUACACAACAACUUACGCAACGACUAGUUCCUGCACCACUGCCUUCAAGUACUACACCACUAAAGCACCGGAGUUUUAUUCCACAACUUACGCUGCCCUGACGCCCUUGUAUUACUCUGCCCCGAGUUACUACACCAUCUAGGCGACGGAGUACUACAUGACGACGUAUGCUGCCCCAUCCGACUACACCGAGGCUCCCAAGCUCCCGCUGAUUACUCCACCAACAUGGUCGAGUACUACACCGAAGCGGCAAAGUACUUCUUUACCCCGAUCUACACAACCACAAGUGAGGCGGCCAAGUAUUACGCAGUCCCGACUUGCUACACAGAAGCUGCUCUUUCGUGCUACGUUGAAC
rnacentral:misc_RNA from 1 species